CGGUAGUCGAGGGCUUUACUGUCUCUUACUUCCAAUCCGUGAAAUUGACCUUCCCGUGAAGAGGCGGGAAUAUGACAAUAAGACGAGAAGACCCUAUGGAGCUUUAAUUAACCGACCCAAAGAGAUCUUGAUAAUCAACCGACAGGGAUAACAUACCUCUACCAUGGGCCGACAAUUUAGGUUGGGGUGACCUCGGAGAAUAAAACAACCUCCGAGUGAUUUAAAUCUAGACUAACUAGUCGAAAGUACUACAUCACUUAUUGAUCCAAAAACUUGAUCAACGGAACAAGUUACCCUAGGGAUAACAGCGCAAUCCUAUUUUAGAGUCCAUAUCGACAAUAGGAUUGUGCGCUGUUAUCCCUAGGGUAACUUGUUCGUUGAUGGGUUUUUGGAUCAGUAAGUG
rnacentral:rRNA from 1 species